rnacentral:rRNA from 1 species
GUCGCCUUCGCCACUGGUGUUCCUUCCUAUAUCUACGCAUUUCACCGCUACACAGGAAAUUCCACCACCCUCUACCGUACUCUAGUCAGGCAGUUAUGGAUGCAGUUCCCAGGUUGAGCCCGGGGAUUUCACAUCCAUCUUACCAAACCACCUACGCGCGCUUUACGCCCAGUAAUUCCGAUUAACGCUUGCACCCUUCGUAUUACCGCGGCUGCUGGCACGAAGUUAGCCGGUGCUUAUUCUGUUGGUAACGUCAAAACAGCAAGGUAUUAACUUACUGCCCUUCCUCCCAACUUAAAGUGCUUUACAAUCCGAAGACCUUCUUCACACACGCGGCAUGGCUGGAUCAGGCUUUCGCCCAUUGUCCAAUAUUCCCCACUGCUGCCUCCCGUAGGAGUCUGGACCGUGUCUCAGUUCCAGUGUGACUGAUCAUCCUCUCAGACCAGUUACGGAUCGUCGCCUUGGUAGGCCUUUACCCCACCAACUAGCUAAUCCGACCUAGGCUCAUNUGAUAGCGCAAGGCCCGAAGGUCCCCUGCUUUCUCCCGUANGACGUAUGCNGNAUUAGCGUUCCUUUNAAANGUNGNNCNNCACUACCANGCAGAUNCCUAGGCAUUACUACCCNU